rnacentral:snRNA from 1 species
AUACUUACCUGGACGGGGUCGACGGCCGAUCAAGUAGGGCCGUGGCCUAGAUCAAUGGCUCACAUUGCACUUUGUGAGCGCGUUGGUUUACCAUCUCCCCAAGUGGGAGAGUGGACGUCAUAAUUUGUGAAAGAGGGGGUACGCGUCCGCGCGGCCCCUGC